UUAACACAUGCAAGUCGAACGAUGAAGCCCUUCGGGGUGGAUUAGUGGCGAACGGGUGAGUAACACGUGGGCAAUCUGCCCUUCACUCUGGGACAAGCCCUGGAAACGGGGUCUAAUACCGGAUAUGACACACGACCGCAUGGUCUGUGUGUGGAAAGCUCCGGCGGUGAAGGAUGAGCCCGCGGCCUAUCAGCUUGUUGGUGGGGUGAUGGCCUACCAAGGCGACGACGGGUAGCCGGCCUGAGAGGGCGACCGGCCACACUGGGACUGAGACACGGCCCAGACUCCUACGGGAGGCAGCAGUGGGGAAUAUUGCACAAUGGGCGAAAGCCUGAUGCAGCGACGCCGCGUGAGGGAUGACGGCCUUCGGGUUGUAAACCUCUUUCAGCAGGGAAGAAGCGAAAGUGACGGUACCUGCAGAAGAAGCGCCGGCUAACUACGUGCCAGCAGCCGCGGUAAUACGUAGGGCGCAAGCGUUGUCCGGAAUUAUUGGGCGUAAAGAGCUCGUAGGCGGCUUGUCACGUCGGAUGUGAAAGCCCGGGGCUUAACCCCGGGUCUGCAUUCGAUACGGGCAGGCUAGAGUUCGGUAGGGGAGAUCGGAAUUCCUGGUGUAGCGGUGAAAUGCGCAGAUAUCAGGAGGAACACCGGUGGCGAAGGCGGAUCUCUGGGCCGAUACUGACGCUGAGGAGCGAAAGCGU
rnacentral:rRNA from 1 species